rnacentral:rRNA from 1 species
AGCAGCCGCGGUAAUUCCAGCUCCAAUAGCGUAUAUUAAAGUUGUUGCAGUUAAAAAGCUCGUAGUUGAAUUUCGGGAUCAAUACGUCGGUCGUACCUCGGUACGUACUAACGUCAUUGAUUUCUCCCUUCUGACGAACCAUGAUGCCAUUAAUUUGGUGUUAUGGGAAAUCAGGACUGUUACUUUGAAAAAAUUAGAGUGUUUAAAGCAGGCUCACGCUUGAAUACAUUAGCAUGGAAUAAUGAAAUAGGACGUUCGAUCCUAUUUUGUUGGUUUUUAGGAUCAACGUAAUGAUUAAUAGGGAUAGUUGGGGGCAUUAGUAUUCAAUUGUCAGAGGUGAAAUUCUUGGAUUUAUUGAAGACUAACUACUGCGAAAGCAUUUGCCAAGGAUGUUUUCAUUAAUCAAGAACGAAAGUUAGGGGAUCGAAGACGAUCAGAUACCGUCGUAGUCUUAACCAUAACUAUGCCGACUAGGGAUCGGAUGAUGUUAAUUAUUUAAUGACUCAUUCGGCGCCUUAUA